rnacentral:rRNA from 1 species
AGAGUUUGAUCAUGGCUCAGGACGAACGCUGGCGGCGUGCUUAACACAUGCAAGUCGAACGGAAAGGCCCUUCGGGGUACUCGAGUGGCGAACGGGUGAGUAACACGUGGGUGAUCUGCCCUGCACUUUGGGAUAAGCCUGGGAAACUGGGUCUAAUACCGAAUAGGACCACGCGCUUCAUGGUGUGUGGUGGAAAGCUUUUGCGGUGUGGGAUGGGCCCGCGGCCUAUCAGCUUGUUGGUGGGGUAGUGGCCUACCAAGGCGACGACGGGUAGCCGGCCUGAGAGGGUGACCGGCCACACUGGGACUGAGAUACGGCCCAGACUCCUACGGGAGGCAGCAGUGGGGAAUAUUGCACAAUGGGCGCAAGCCUGAUGCAGCGACGCCGCGUGAGGGAUGACGGCCUUCGGGUUGUAAACCUCUUUCAAUAGGGACGAAGCGCAAGUGACGGUACCUAUAGAAGAAGCACCGGCCAACUACGUGCCAGCAGCCGCGGUAAUACGUAGGGUGCGAGCGUUGUCCGGAAUUACUGGGCGUAAAGAGCUCGUAGGUGGUUUGUCGCGUUGUUCGUGAAAACUCACAGCUUAACUGUGGGCGUGCGGGCGAUACGGGCAGACUAGAGUACUGCAGGGGAGACUGGAAUUCCUGGUGUAGCGGUGGAAUGCGCAGAUAUCAGGAGGAACACCGGUGGCGAAGGCGGGUCUCUGGGCAGUAACUGACGCUGAGGAGCGAAAGCGUGGGGAGCGAACAGGAUUAGAUACCCUGGUAGUCCAA